UACAGAGGUCUCGAGCGUUAGGCGGAAUCACUGGGCUUAAAGCGUGUGUAGGUGGAUCGUUAAGUACCUUGUGAAAUCCCACGGCUUAACCGUGGAACUGCUUGGUAUACUGGCGGUCUUGAGCCACUUAGGGGCUACCGGAACAGACGGUGGAGCGGUGAAAUGCGUAGAUAUCGUCUGGAACGCCGAAGGUGAAAACAGACUGCUGGAUGUGCUGACGCUGAGACACGAAAGCCAGGGGAGCGAACGGG
rnacentral:rRNA from 1 species